UUAUAUUUAAACCUAAUAAAAAUCCCUGUGCAAUAUCCUUCAUUCUCGCUCUCUCUCACUCUCUCGUCUCAACAAGGUCCAAGGGGCGCUCUUAUUUAUCUCUUUGAACCAGACCGAGCCAAUCGACGAACAACCGCCAGCGAGACAGAAGCAUGGCCCCACCAACGGACCACCAGCACCAUCAACUCCACCGCAACCUCACCAACUUCCUCCACACAACCACCACGUCUAUCUUCUCUCUCCUCCCCACUACCAAAACGACACCGAACCUUCCACCUUCCAAAAUAUCCACUCCUUUCCUAUUUGCGGACUCGCCCUUCCGCCUCACUCCUUCGCCCUUCGAGUCAACUCAGCCCGACUCCGUCUCUUCUAAAUCCACAAUCAAGGGCGUGUCUUCGGCCGAGUCAAGCUCCGGCUUCCCAUCAACGGUCAGGAUUGCUGGACUUACUUCCUGUGGAAAGAGCGGUGGCCCCGCCUUCGUCGGCCAAGUCUUUAGCAUGUGUGAUCUUUCCGGGACUGGUCUUAUGGCUGUUUCAACUCACUUCGAUAUUCCCUUUAUUUCUAAGAGAACACCGGAGUGGCUUAAGAAGAUAUUUGCUAACAUUACUAAGAGUGAGAGGAAUGGCCCUGUUUUUCGUUUUUUCAUGGAUUUAGGUGAUGCAGUUUCUUAUGUCAAACACCUUAAUAUUCCGAGUGGGGUGGUAGGCGCUUGUCGUCUUGAUUUGGCAUAUGAACAUUUCAAGGAAAAGCCUCACUUAUUUCAGUUUGUUCCAAAUGAGAAACAGGUAAAGGCAGCCAACAAGCUUCUUAAGACCAUCCCACAAAAUGGUGAAAGGAAAAAGGUUGAUGGUGUUCCUGUUUUUGGUGCUCAAAACUUGGAUAUUGCAAUAGCUACUACAGAUGGGAUUAAGUGGUAUACUCCGUACUUCUUUGAUAAAAACAUACUGGAUAAUAUUCUCGAAGAGUCUGUUGAUCAGCAUUUCCAUGCUUUAAUUCAAACUCGGCACAUGCAACGCCGACGUGAUGUAACUGAUGAUAACUUGGCAGCUGAAGUGAUUGAAGAAAUUGGAGAUAGCAUGUGGGAGCCUCCAGAGGUUCAAGAAGUUUUGGAUGAGAUUGGCCAUACUGCCAUACCUUUGAGUGUUAUUUCAAAGGCUGCUGAGAUUCAGCUUCUCUAUGCUGUUGACAAAGUACUCCUGGGUAAUAGGUGGUUACGAAAAGCCACUGGCAUUCAACCAAAAUUUCCUUAUAUGGUUGAUUCAUUUGAGAGAAGGAGUGCUGCUUCUUUUCUUAGAGCCUCUGAGUCAGCCAGAUGCCUUUCUAACCCUGGAACAGAUAGCAGCACUUCAGAGCUCAAAUCAGUCAAUGAUGUGAAAGCUGACAAUGGACAGAGACAAGAUUUCAGGUUUCCUUUUGGAGAUUGGUUUAAUCAUCCAUGGUUGAAACAAGAGGAGAAACCUAAACAGAGAUCAGAUGCAAGAAUGGAACGCUCAUCAAAGGAAUGGGAAAGGCAAAACUUUCAAGCUAACCCAUUUCUUCCAAAGAUUACAAUGGUUGGUAUCUCAACAGGAGAUGGACAGAUGAGCAAAUCUAGUUUGAAGAAGACUAUGGAAGAUCUAACAAGGGAGUUGGAGAGGACAGAUCAGGAAAAUGGCACUGGUAGUGACAUUAAUGAGUUAAAAAUUGAAGAUAGAGAUCCACUAUUUGUUGCAAAUGUGGGUGAUUACUAUUCAGGCUUGGCAAAGACUAGUUCGGCACGAUGGAUUCGAGGAGGAAACAACUGAAAAAGCCUCGAUGAUGCUUAGUUGGCGUGAAUUUAUUUACUAACAGGUAAAAUUGUAAAGUUAGCAAUGUUUUUUUUUUUUUUUUUGACAUAUCUCCCUCCAAGUCGAAGAAGCUAGAUGUGCCAUGUUGCAUUCACAUAAGGCUAUAUGUAAAGAAAUAAGUUAAAGUGGUCUUUGUGAUCAGUUGAUUGAGCAUAUAGCAUCCGUUUGGCUGGUAGUAAUUUUGAAAAUCGAUUCCUUGUAUAACAGAAUAACCAUUAUUAGCUUUUCCUUCCAGUUUUACCUUCAGCCUGCAAUGUAAAAUAGGUGAAAAGUCGUGAUUUUGUUGUGAUUUGCAGGAAACUCUCAUGUAAUGCUUGGUGAGCCGUUUGUAUUUUGUUAAUUAUGGAAAUGCAUCUUUUCAUUUGGAAAUCGUUUCUCUACAAAAAUUGUAUUUAGAUAAACCCAAGUACCCAAGCAGCAAUUGCAAGGAAAACUAUUUGCCCAAAAAUGUUUGAGGGUAAACUGACUAAGAAAUUGCGAAAUCCGAGGCAGAUAUCUAUGUUUCACCAGAGCAUACAUGACGAGGGACAACAAACAAUUGCAACCACCACCCAAUAAAAAAAAACAAAAAAAGCCCACAAAGCCAGGA